rnacentral:rRNA from 1 species
GGGUGAGUAACGCGUGGGUAACCUGCCUUACACAGGGGGAUAACAGUUAGAAAUGACUGCUAAUACCGCAUAAGCGCACAGAAUCGCAUGAUUCAGUGUGAAAAGAUUUAUCGGUGUAAGAUGGACCCGCGUCUGAUUAGCUAGUUGGUGAGGUAACGGCCCACCAAGGCGACGAUCAGUAGCCGGCCUGAGAGGGUGAACGGCCACAUUGGGACUGAGACACGGCCCAAACUCCUACGGGAGGCAGCAGUAGGGAAUAUUGGACAAUGGGGGAAACCCUGAUCCAGCGACGCCGCGUGAGUGAAGAAGUAUUUCGGUACGUAAAGCUCUAUCAGCAGGGAAGAAAAUGACGGUACCUGACUAAGAAGCACCGGCUAAAUACGUGCCAGCAGCCGCGGUAAUACGUAUGGUGCAAGCGUUAUUCGGAUUUACUGGGUGUAAAGGGAGCGUAGACGGCAUAGCAAGUCUGAAGUGAAAUGCGGGGGCUCAACCCCUGAACUGCUUUGGAAACUGUUAAGCUAGAGUGUCGGAGAGGUUAGUGGAAUUCCUAGUGUAGCGGUGAAAUGCGUAGAUAUUAGGAGGAACACCGGUGGCGAAGGCGGCUAACUGGACGAUAACUG